UGGACAUUUACUUUUUAUUCAGUUUCUUCUUAAAGUAUAAAAAACUCUUUGUAAAUGUCCUUGAAAAAUAUAGUAGUUUUCUUUUCACCCUUUGUAAAAAGGGUAGAUCAUUCCACUACUGACAUAU